rnacentral:rRNA from 1 species
UACGGGGGGGGGCAAGCGUUGUUCGGAAUUACUGGGCGUAAAGGGCUCGUAGGCGGCCAACUAAGUCAGACGUGAAAUCCCUCGGCUUAACCGGGGAACUGCGUCUGAUACUGGUUGGCUUGAGUGUGGGAGAGGGAUGCGGAAUUCCAGGUGUAGCGGUGAAAUGCGUAGAUAUCUGGAGGAACACCGGUGGCGAAGGCGGCAUCCUGGACCAUUACUGACGCUGAGGAGCGAAAGCCAGGGGAGCAAAGCGGG